GUAGGUGAACCUGCGGAGGGAUCAUUAACACUAUUUGAUGGAAUGAAAGUUCCUUCAAAUUUCUAUACACAUCGCGAACUCGUUGAUUCUCCUUAAAAAGAGAAUCAGCCUAACAAAACUGUCUCGAAGGUAAGGUAGCCGAUGCGACGUAGUGAACCGCCUUGGAAACAAGAUCGGUAGCUCCGCUUCCAUCCUUCGACGUGGUUCUUUUUUGGGAGAUAUGACACUCACAUAUCUCGUCCCCCUUUUG
rnacentral:misc_RNA from 1 species